rnacentral:rRNA from 1 species
UGCAAGUCGAACGAACCUUCGGGUUAGUGGCGGACGGGUGAGUAACGCGUGAGAAUCUGCCCUCAGGAGGGGGAUAACAGUUGGAAACGACUGCUAAUACCCCAUAUGCCGAGAGGUGAAACGAAUUUCGCCUGGGGAUGAGCUCGCGUCUGAUUAGCUUGUUGGUGGGGUAAUGGCCUACCAAGGCUUUGAUCAGUAGCUGGUCUGAGAGGACGAUCAGCCACACUGGGACUGAGACACGGCCCAGACUCCUACGGGAGGCAGCAGUGGGGAAUUUUCCGCAGUGGGCGAAAGCCUGACGGAGCAACGCCGCGUGAGGGAUGAGGGCCUUUGGGCUGUAAACCUCUUUUCUCAAGGAAAAAGAUCUGACGGUACUUGAGGAAUAAGCCACGGCUAAUUCCGUGCCAGCAGCCGCGGUAAUACGGGAGUGGCAAGCGUUAUCCGGAAUUAUUGGGCGUAAAGCGUCCGCAGGCGGCCGUUUAAGUCUGUUGUUAAAUUGUGGAGCUCAACUCCAUCACGGCAAUGGAAACUGUUCGGCUUGAGUAUGGUAGGGGCAGAGGGAAUUUCCGGUGUAGCGGUGAUAUGCGUAGAUAUCGGGAAGAACACCAGUGGCGAAAGCGCUCUGCUGGGCCAUUACUGACGCUCAUGGACGAAAGCCAGGGGAGCGAAAUGGAUUAGAUACCCAUGUAGUCCUGGCCGUAAACGAUGAACACUAGAUGUUGGGGGAAUCGACCCCCUCAGUGUCGUAGCUAACGCGUUAAGUGUUCCGCCUGGGGAGUACGCACGCAAGUGUGAAACUCAAAGGAAUUGACGGGG